GAGUUUGAUCCUGGCUCAGGACGAACGCUGGCGGCGUGCUUAACACAUGCAAGUCGAACGGAAAGGCCCUGCUUUUGUGGGGUGCUCGAGUGGCGAACGGGUGAGUAACACGUGAGUAACCUGCCCUUGACUUUGGGAUAACUUCAGGAAACUGGGGCUAAUACCGGAUAGGAGCUCCUGCUGCAUGGUGGGGGUUGGAAAGUUUCGGCGGUUGGGGAUGGACUCGCGGCUUAUCAGCUUGUUGGUGGGGUAGUGGCUUACCAAGGCUUUGACGGGUAGCCGGCCUGAGAGGGUGACCGGCCACAUUGGGACUGAGAUACGGCCCAGACUCCUACGGGAGGCAGCAGUGGGGAAUAUUGCACAAUGGGCGGAAGCCUGAUGCAGCAACGCCGCGUGCGGGAUGACGGCCUUCGGGUUGUAAACCGCUUUCGCCUGUGACGAAGCGUGAGUGACGGUAAUGGGUAAAGAAGCACCGGCUAACUACGUGCCAGCAGCCGCGGUGAUACGUAGGGUGCGAGCGUUGUCCGGAUUUAUUGGGCGUAAAGGGCUCGUAGGUGGUUGAUCGCGUCGGAAGUGUAAUCUUGGGGCUUAACCCUGAGCGUGCUUUCGAUACGGGUUGACUUGAGGAAGGUAGGGGAGAAUGGAAUUCCUGGUGGAGCGGUGGAAUGCGCAGAUAUCAGGAGGAACACCAGUGGCGAAGGCGGUUCUCUGGGCCUUUCCUGACGCUGAGGAGCGAAAGCGUGGGGAGCGAACAGGCUUAGAUACCCUGGUAGUCCACGCUGUAAACGGUGGGUACUAGGUGUGGGGUCCAUUCCACGGGUUCCGCGCCGUAGCUAACGCUUUAAGUACCCCGCCUGGGGAGUACGGCCGCAAGGCUAAAACUCAAAGGAAUUGACGGGGCCCC
rnacentral:rRNA from 1 species